UACAUUUUCUAAUUCUGUUGCUUCCCCAGUAGUUGGCUUGUUGUGAUGAGUACUUGGUGUGGUUUUGUCAACAUACAUUGUAUUUUUCAGCACAGUUACGGUGUCGUUGCAUAAUAAACAGUAUUUUCCCAUAUAAUGUAAAAUAAUCCACACUCCAGUGUGCCUUCUAGGCACAUCAUUCAAAGUGCAAUUUUCUUGUUGUGACAUGAUGGUUAUUAACGGGUAAGAGAGGAAAUAAUAAACUGUUGUUGUACAGAUAUACAAGGCACGUCGGAUCUCCAUCAGCUUACCAAGAAGGAAUGUGAAAUGAUGAGAAUGCCAUAAGCGGUUUCUGUAGCAGCUACUCAACCUUCCCACUGUAGUGCACAAGUAGCCAUAGACAGUGCAGAAGUGAUGAGUCUGGCUGCAUUCUGAUAAAACUAUUUAUGGACACUAAAAGUUGAACUUCAUGUAAUUUUCACAGGUCAGUAAGUAUUAAUCUUUUGAUUUUUUUUCCAACCAUUUUAAAACUGUAAAAACCACUCUCAUCUCACUGGCCAUAGAAACACAGGCAGCAGGCUGGUUUGGGCCUGUAGGCCAGUUUGCUGACCUGCCCCAACAGAAUUUAACACAAUGGGGAAUCUAGAAUUAACAGCUCAGGAACAUUACAAAACUAUCAGCCAAAUAUCUUCUAUCCAAGAGCUAGAUUUAGUAAAGAUCAUAAUGUUCCUCUUACAGAAGUUAUAAAAUAUCAUUGCCUCUUAAGACAAUAAAAUUGACACAGACUCUGAAAUUCAGCAACUAUGUGGCUAUUCAAAAGGGAAUCUUUGUAAUUCCUUUUUUUAAAGAGGUGAAGAUCAAAAUAAGAGGAAACCAAUCAGAUUAUCGGCUAUAUUGUGUCAGCUUUAAAAAGAAGCCACAGUAAAUCAUACCAAAUGUACUCUUUCAGAAUAAGAGUAAAUGCAUUCUUGGAAAGGAGAUAAAUAUGAAUUUUAACAUCUAGUUGAGGUAUUCAUAAAGAAUAAGCCAACAGUGUUGCACUGCAGAAGGCUCAAGUAAGAGACUAAUAAUUAGCUAUAAAGAAGUUACUGAGUUCUGUUCAGUUGCUUAAAAAAAAAAAAAAAAAAAAAUCCUGCAAAUAUUUUUAAAAAUCACCAGUCAUCAACAUAUAUAAGAAAACAUUUCCGAAGCCUUUAUUUACAAAAGCUUUAAAAACAAAUAAUACCCUCUGUUUUGCAAAUAACGUUUUGUUUAAAAAGGACCACCCAGUUACAGCAUUUUAAUAUCAUGAAUAAAGAAUGUACAAAGGAAACAAACCAAUGUGGCUAACAUAUGUGGAGAUUUACUAGUAUUACUGAUUGAAAUGUAGAUAACACACGUCGUAACUUGUAGUCUAUCAUUUCAGGGCAGAGUUAAUGAUUACCAAAAUGUCUUCCUACACAUGCUCUGGUCUGGUCACAUAUUCUGCAUGGCUAAAUAUUUCACAGUCUCUCUUGUCAAUAUAUAUAAAAUAGAUUGCAAAGAUAUACACAAAAAAAUAAACAAGCAUUACACUCCUCAGGUCAUUUUAUUAGGUAUAUAUAGCCAUAUAUAUACAAUAUAUUUUUGUAUUUUGUUGUUGUGCACCAAAUCUCUGCAUUAUUCAUCUUUGUAACAACUAUGAAAGCACAAUUUUUUCUUCUUCUAAUUUAAUCUGGUACAAAAUAUACCUAAAGACUUGCUAUCUUUGGACUUUAAAGAAACUGAUUUGUGGAAUCAACAAAGUAAGAGUGUUGUUAAGCAUGGCUAUACAAUUUUUUAAAAAUUAAAAACAGGGUAAACAGUGACAGAAUAAAAAGAAGCAGAUCAAAGGGAAGUGUGCUAUCAUAAAAUAACUGCAGCUUCAAUAUCUUGGAUACCAGUUUCCUGGCAGACACUAAAUAUCCAAUCACAAGGGAUUGUUCCUGAAGGGUGUAAAGCUGGUUUGAAAAAUUCUUCGGUCAGAGCAGCCUACACAUGCCAAUGAGACACUGACAGACACUAGAUGUGCUUGGAAGAUGAAACACUACGUACAGAAACAGCAGUUACUAAGCUCCUCAGUAGUUUUUUUGUCUUUUUUUUUUUUUUUGUAGUCUUGCUGAAUCAACCGUUUGCACAAUGCGUGUGCUAUUUCCAUGGGUCAAAAACAAGUAAAUACUGUAUAAGAUUGGCAGAUGGUCAUUUUUCCAGCUAAGAGCAAGAAAAGCCAAAAUUUCUGAUAAAACAGAGGAUUUGAGUCAGAAUCACUCUCUAAAGUGCAAAAUUGAUGGUCCACAAUCUCAAAAUAGCUAAAACUCCUGUAGAAUGGAAGGGAGACAUGAAACAGGGAAAUAAAUUACAGUCAGUGCUAGUUAAUUUACGAAGGGGGAAAAA